rnacentral:rRNA from 1 species
CUUAACACAUGCAAGUCGAACGAGAAAGUGGAGCAAUCCAUGAGUACAGUGGCGUACGGGUGAGUAACACGUGGGUAUCUACCUUCUGGUGGGGGAUAACCCUGGGAAACCGGGGCUAAUACCGCAUAAUCCCGAGAGGGAAAAGGAGCAAUUCGCCGGAAGAGGAGCCCGCGGCUGAUAAGCUAGUUGGUGAGGUAAUGGCUCACCAAGGCGAAGAUCGGUAGCCGGCCUGAGAGGGCACACGGCCACACUGGCACUGAAACACGGGCCAGACUCCUACGGGAGGCAGCAGUGGGGAAUCUUGCACAAUGGGGGAAACCCUGAUGCAGCGACGCCGCGUGAACGAUGAAGCCCUUCGGGGUGUAAAGUUCUUUCGGCAGGAACGAUAAUGACGGUACCUGAAGAAGAAGCUGCGGCUAACUACGUGCCAGCAGCCGCGGUAAUACGUAGGCAGCAAGCGUUGUUCGGAGUUACUGGGCGUAAAGAGUGCGUAGGCGGUCUUUUAAGUUUGGUGUGAAAUCUCCCGGCUCAACUGGGAGGGUGCGCCGAAAACUGGAAGGCUUGAGGAUGGGAGAGGCAUGCGGAAUUCCUGGUGUAGCGGUGAAAUGCGUAGAUAUCAGGAGGAACACCUGCGGUGUAGACAGCAUGCUGGACCAUUUCUGACGCUGAGGCACGAAAGCGUGGGUAGCAAACAGGAUUAGAUACCCUGGUAGUCCACGCCCUAAACGAUGCAUACUUGGUGUGAGCCAUUCAUUUGGUUCGUGCCGGAGCUAACGCGUUAAGUAUGCCGCCUGGGGAGUACGGUCGCAAGGCUG